rnacentral:piRNA from 1 species
UCACAUAGCAGAAUCAACCUC